GUCACUCCUCUUUCUUUCAACAAGUCCAAAUCAGCAAUAAAAACAAUCUUCACUUGUAUUUCACAUUCCCUACUGAUCCGUAUUUCACAUUCCCUACUGAUCCAUUAGCCAUCCCUAACUCAGUCCUCUUUUCACUUACGAAAUAUGGAUGAAUUGGCAGCAAUUACUUUAGUCUACCAUAAAAAUUUUCACUUAUAAUUUGGAGAAAAACCUGAGAAAGAUCAGUCCUUGAAGUCGAAGAGGUCUUUUUAGAGAUGACUUCAAGAUGUUUGAUGAAAUGUCUCAACCAAAUGUUGCGAUUUUUAACUUGAUUAUAUUGAGUUUGACUCAUUUUGAAUUUUCGAAAGAAUAUUAUUUUAACUUUUUUUUAGGUGCUUGCAGGGGUGGUGGGGUGGAUGAAUUAUUUUAAUGAAGUAUGAGAAAGAAAGAAAGGGGAGGGGUAGGUGGCAUUUUGCAGGUGAUUUUAUGUUGAAUUUGCAAUGGAAAAAGUAAAUAACCUUUAAAAUUUCAUUGGCUUCUAGAACUUGUAGUUGAUUUGCAGUGAAUCUGGAAUUCUUAAAUAGUUAAAGUGAAAGAUUUUUCAUAUCUUAAGGAGAUUUGGUAGUAGAGAAUUUACUAGUAUAAUGUGGGUGGCUUCAAUUUUAUCUGCGUUUUGUAUUUGCGGGGGAGAAUUCUGAACAAUAGUGUGUGAUGAAUUUGUUUGAAAAGUAGUGCCAAUUUGCUAGAAAAUCUCUGCAAAUUUACCGAGGAGAGAAAGAUAAAAAGGGUUGGGGAGGCAGUGUUUACAGGGAUGGGGAUGAACGAAUUUAUUUGACGGGAGUAGAAAGAAAU
rnacentral:lncRNA from 1 species